UGGGGAAUAUUGGACAAUGGGCGAAAGCCUGAUCCAGCCAUGCCGCGUGUGUGAAGAAGGUCUUCGGAUUGUAAAGCACUUUAAGUUGGGAGGCGUUACCGACAGAAUAAGCACCGGCUAACUCUGUGCCAGCAGCCGCGGUAAUACAGAGGGUGCAAGCGUUAAUCGGAAUUACUGGGCGUAAAGCGCGCGUAGGUGGUUUGUUAAGUUGGAUGUGAAAGCCCCGGGCUCAACCUGGGAACUGCAUCCAAAACUGGCAAGCUAGAGUAUGGUAGAGGGUGGUGGAAUUUCCUGUGUAGCGGUGAAAUGCGUAGAUAUAGGAAGGAACACCAGUGGCGAAGGCGACCACCUGGACUGAUACUGACACUGAGGUGCG
rnacentral:rRNA from 1 species